rnacentral:rRNA from 1 species
UACGUAGGGGGCAAGCGUUGUCCGGAUUUAUUGGGCGUAAAGAGCGUGUAGGCGGCUAGACAGGUCCACUGUGAAAACUCGAGGCUCAACCUCGAGAGGUCGGUGGAAACCGUCUGGCUAGAGUUCGGAAGAGGAGAGUGGAAUUCCCGGUGUAGCGGUGAAAUGCGCAGAUAUCGGGAAGAACACCCGUGGCGAAGGCGGCUCUCUGGGACGGUACUGACGCUGAGACGCGAAAGCGUGGGGAGCGAACAGG